ensembl:lncRNA
CGGGCGAGCGUGCGGCCGGGGGGUCCGGGAACUCCGCGCUCCCAGCUCCGCCGGAUGGGCAGCACAGGGCGAGUGGCAGACCUUCCUCGUCCCGCUGUCGCCGUCCGAAGGCGCGACUUGGGCUGAAAGCUGCCGAGCGCAGGGCGGGGGCUCCCGGCUGGUGCGAAACAGAAGCGUGCUUUAUCUUAUGACUCCCUUCGAGCUGAGCGCGUUUACCACCGAAGGAACCCACUGAGAGCAGUGGUGUCGGCACCCCCCCCUCGCCCCCCCCCCCCAUCUUUUGCCUCUCUGUUGUUUAACAGUGAGGGGAAAGAAAGCAGAGGGAGAGAGGAGGGUAUAGUGCUGUCGGCAUAGAAGCUUUGGCAAAAAAAUGCAAGUUUGUUUUUCUCAGAUGCUUCUCAUAAAUAAGUGGAUUAACACAAAUAGUCGGUACAGAGUUAGACUACUUUAGUUGUGCAGUCCAACUUGCUUCACUGCUUUGGAGGUUGAAGAUGGUAAAUGAUUUUCAUGAACCGUUUUGCAAAUUUUUAAACUUUGUCCUUUCUUUACUAAGUUUUAGGCCCUGUGAAGUCCGUGUGUCCCGUUCUGCAGUCUUUCCCGUGCUCUCUCUCCUUCUAAGAUGCAAUCUGGUGCCUGAGGAGUGUCCUGAAUCCCAAACUCAGCCGUGAAAGAGGACCAAAAAUGUCACCCUGGCAGCUUUGAGUUGUCAUCGGCCAGCCUGGGUGUGCUGCUCUGAAGCAGUGUCACUCUGCAGCCACCGAGACCACCUCAGUUUCCCCUCCAUCCAGGCUGGCUCCAACUCCUUGUCAGCUGGGCUGAAAAGUACAGCAGUUCAUGAGCACUUGGCAUGUGCCAGGUGAGAGAGGUAGUGACUUCAAGUUGAGCCAUGGGAGGUUCAGGUUGGGUAUUCAGAAAAAUGUCUUCUCAGAAAGAGUGGUGAGGCAUUGGCAGAGGCUGCCCAGGGAGGUGCUGGAGUCACUGUCCCUGGAGGUGUUGAAGAAACGUGGCACUGAGGGACAUGGUUUAGUGGGCAUGAUGGUGCUGGGUUGAUGGUCAGCCUAGAUCAUCUUAGUGGUCUUUUCCAACCGUAAUGAUUCUAUGAUUCUACGCAAGAGCAAUGCUUCAAGGGGGGAAGGAGUUACACAAAAUACAUUCCCUUCCCUCCAACAGGCAGCAGACCGAGGCCUCAGCCCUCGUGAGCAGCCUCACCCAGGCUGCCCAGGUGCCUCCUCCCCAUAGGAAUGCAAAACUGUGCCCAGGGAGAGCUAACCCGCAGGGGAUGGGUUAUCCGAGGAUAGGGGGUGGGUGGAGGAAGAGUAGCGUGAAGAGAGGUGUCUCCGCUUCUCAUGUUAAUUAAUGCAAGGUGAAAAACUAUAAUUAAGUUUUCAGAGCUGUGAAUCCAGAGUGAGAAGAAGCAUGUCCUGCUGAACCUGAACAGGGCACCUAAACCCCAGAGCAGACUGGGCUGUAGCACACCCUUUUCCCCUUGCUGCCUAAUUUAGGUACAGUGCCCUGUUGGGUUUUUUUUUGUCCAGUGACCAGGCCAAGAUAUCAAAUCAGGCAUUUCUGUUUCCCAAAGAAUUAGCUCUAGCCAAUUUUUUUUCAUAUAUUUCCUUUAUUAAUUACUAAAGAACCAGGGCUGCUGCUAAUGGAAAUGUGUCACACAGUAUUUUUUAAGUAAUUUCAUAAAAUUUACCAGAAGAAAAAGAUCAAAUAGUUUUUUUGUCCUCUUACAAGAAGAUAAUACAGAAGGGAAAGGAAAUGUUUAGUGCCUCACCAAUCUUUUUCAGCACACUGUGUGCUUCACUUUGCUUUCUGAGGGUGUCUGGUUGUCCUGCGGGGUUCCUGUGUACUGACAAGUGCUCUGUCUGUGGCUGAGAGCCCUGCUAGCAUCAGCUGUUUUCAUUUCCCAUUCCAACAGAGGUAAAUAAUAGAAUUUCCCAUAUUUCUCCUAUAUAUAGGUCCCUGGUAUCAAAGAGGCUUUAUGGUGGUGUUCGUUGCCUCUUUCUCCUUGUCCACUUUGGAUCUGUAAGAGGACACACGUGCCAUUUGAAUCUUGGAAAGAAAAGCUAGGAGAUAGUGUAUGGGAUGCUAAGGUACAGGCCCAAGGCAGACAGUCCCCAGGUUGUCUUCCAGCCUUGCGACAGCAAGAUUGGUAGCUGAUGUAUUGCUUCUCUAUCCUGAGAUGUGCAGGCUCCAAAUUGUCCUGGUGUAUCCAAGUCUUUGUGAGCCCCAAGAACACUUUCUGGCUGUGAUCUAAGGCAGGGGGAAGAAAAGAUGCCUUGAGACUUCUCUCUUGGCACCCCAGCUGACGUUACACAUCUGCAAGAGCGGCUCCCGGAAUACAGGAUCAUGCAGCAGGGCCAGGAACAGAGGAGGACAGGAACAGUAUUUGGUCAGGUGUGCAGCUGUUGAAUGGUCAGGUCUGUAAAGAGAGAAACCUGUUAGUGCAAGCUUGACUGUCGUUCUCCAGUCGUUUUCAGUGCAUGGAUGAAUCCAUACUCUUAAUUUCAACUUUUCCCAAUGGCCACAUGUCUGCCAUAACCUGUGAACGCCCACCUUGCAGUCACAGUGUGCGGUGCAGUUGCGUGCCCAAGCAAGGGGAAUGGGCUUGCUGUCCAUGCUUGCAUUCAGGUAGAAAAAAAAUAUAGGAAAAGCAACACCAAGAUGGUUGUGAGCAUGGUGCUAAGCAUGUACUUCAGGCUGAGCUUUGAACAGAGGGACAUGCUGGAGUAUGCCUGAUUGUAGUGUUUUCACCUCCUGUUUUCAGGCAGAGGUCAGCGUUCACAUCUUAUGUAAAUAAAUUGGCCUCCUGACAGCAAAAACAUUGCAAGGCCACGUAUACAGACUCACUGCUCAGACAGCAGUGCAGGGAAUGCAGCUGCCAGGAAGAGAAGGUGGAGCGGGAACUUUCUGGAGAGUAGCUGGCAUUGCCAGAUUCUCCAUCCCAGACGCUAACACAUUGAAGCGUGAAAAUAAUUCCUGUCGGAUGGUCCAGGUACAGCGGAAGCUCCACAAGGGCA